rnacentral:rRNA from 1 species
ACUCCUGCGGGAGGCAGCAGUGGGGAAUUUUGGACAAUGGGGGCAACCCUGAUCCAGCAAUGCCGCGUGAGUGAAGAAGGCCUUCGGGUUGUAAAGCUCUUUUGUCAGGGAAGAAACGGUGGUGGCGAAUAACUACUACUAAUGACGGUACCUGAAGAAUAAGCACCGGCUAACUACGUGCCAGCAGCCGCGGUAAUACGUAGGGUGCAAGCGUUAAUCGGAAUUACUGGGCGUAAAGCGUGCGCAGGCGGUUGUGUAAGUCAGAUGUGAAAUCCCCGGGCUCAACCUGGGAAUUGCAUUUGAGACUGCACGGCUAGAGUGUGUCAGAGGGGGGUAGAAUUCCACGUGUAGCAGUAAAAUGCGUAGAUAUGUGGAGGAAUACCGAUGGCGAAGGCAGCCCCCUGGGAUAACACUGACGCUCAUGCACGAAAGCGUGGGGAGCAAACAGGAUUAGAUACCCCUGUAGUCCCAUG